AAACCUCUAUUCUACACGUUGACACAUAGCACCAUAUAUAACAGUUAUUGAUUAGGAUGCAUACCUCAUCCUGGAGCACGGUGUCCCAUCAUCUCUAACAUGGUAUUUCAGCUGUGCUUCUAAAGGCUGUUCUAUCAUUCCACCAGCUCUAUUCAGCUUCUGGAUGGUGAAGUAUGUAAUAGGCCUAAAAGAUCCCAUGAUCAUGUGCCCAUUCUAUCCUUAAAGUGGGACUCUUGGUCUUCUGCAAUGGUAUGUGAGAUCCCACGUCAGUGAAUCAAACACUCUUUUAGCCCCCAGAGAGUGGCCUUUGAGCAGAAAAGACAAAUCCAUAUCCAGAAUAUAUGGCAAUUCAGGUCAAGAUGAGUCCCUCACCCUUCUGGAGUGGAACAGGUCCAAGGUAGCCAGCUUGGUACUGCGUGGCUGGUAUCAGUUGCUGGCAGGUUGGACUUUUAGCAGUGACAAUAGGUAAUUGGCCUUGGUGAGUGGGAGCCCAUUCUGUUGAGCCACCCCUGCCACCACACACAUGCGACACGUGUCACCUCCAUCUAUGCCACCAUGGCCACUUUAUUCAUGUGCCCAUUGUGCUGGCAUGGGGUGGUCAAUGACAGAGGCAAGCUAACAUCAAUUCCACAUCAUUCUAUCUACUUGAUUAUGCAGUCUCCCCUGUGGCAGGUGCUCUCUGAUGAGUAUUAACAUGCAAUAUAAAGAUCUUCAAUAGUGAGACCUAUCUCUACAAAAAAAAAUUAGCCUCGUGUGGUGGUGUGUGCCUGUAGUACCAGCUACUCCAGGGUCUGAGGUAGGAGAUCACUUGAGCCCCGGAGGUCGAGGCUGCAGUGAGCCAUGAUCGUACCACUGCACUCCAGCCUGGGCAACAGAGCAAGACCCUGUCUCAAAAAAUAAAAAAUAAAGAUACUCACACUUGGUGCUCACUCAAAUAGAUAAAGCCACAUAUCUCUUCCCAAGACCUUCUUGUUCCCAGUCUUCCAGUAUUUCUCUUUCUAGCCCUCUAACCAACCAGUCAAACCAUUUGCCUAUAGCUCAUGAGCCUGUAGACAAUUUUACCUCAGGCCGCUUUACCAGGGGCCAUGCUGAUGAUUCAGUUCCCAGUCAGGUAUCAAUGUCAAUGCAGACACUGCAUCCAGCAGACCUUAAAGCGUUUGACUAUUCUACUAUCCCCAGUGUACAGUUACCCAGGUAAA
rnacentral:lncRNA from 10 species